rnacentral:rRNA from 1 species
AUUGAACGCUGGCGGCAGGCCUAACACAUGCAAGUCGAGCGGAGCGGCGGACGGGUGAGUAAUGCCUAGGAAUCUGCCUGGUAGUGGGGGAUAACGUCCGGAAACGGGCGCUAAUACCGCAUACUAUCAGAUGAGCCUAGGUCGGAUUAGCUAGUUGGUGGGGUAAAGGCCUACCAAGGCGACGAUCCGUAACUGGUCGGAGAGGAUGAUCAGUCAAAGUGGAAAGGAGACAGGGUCCAGACCCCUACGGGAGGGAGGAGUGGGGAAUAUGGGACAAUGGGCGAAAGCCUGAUCCAGCCAUGCCGCGUGUGUGGAGAAGGUCUGCGGAUUGUAAAGCACUUUAAGUUGGGAGGCGUGACCAACAGAAUAAGCACCGGCUAACUCCGUGCCAGCAGCCGCGGUAUUC